CCUACGGGAGGCAGCAGUGAGGAAUAUUGGUCAAUGGACGCAAGUCUGAACCAGCCAUGCCGCGUGCAGGAAGACGGUUCUAUGAGUUGUAAACUGCUUUUGUACGAGGAUAAACGCAGGUACGCGUAUCUGUCUGAAAGUAACGUACGAAUAAGCAUCGGCUAACUCCGUGCCAGCAGCCGCGGUAAUACGGAGGAUUCAACCGUUAUCCGGAUUUAUUGGGUUUAAAGGGUGCGUAGGCGGUCGGAUAAGUUAGAGGUGAAAGCCCGCGGCUCAACUUCGGAAUUGCCUCUGAUACUGGUCGGCUAGAGAGGAGUUGCGGUAGGCGGAAUGUAUGGUGUAGCGGUGAAAUGCUUAGAGAUCAUACAGAACACCGAUUGCGAAGGCAGCAUACCAAGCUAAUACUGACGUUGAGGCACGAAAGCGUGGGGAGCAAACAGGAUUAGAUACCCUGGUAGUC
rnacentral:rRNA from 1 species